GCACUAGGUGGCUCAGUUGGUACAGCAGCCGUGCAAUGUGCAGAGGCUAUAGUCCUCGACACGGUUGGUUGUCCUGGGUUCAAUUCCUAAUCCCAGGCC